rnacentral:rRNA from 1 species
GGCUCAGGACGAACGCUGGCGGCGUGCUUAACACAUGCAAGUCGAGCGGUGAACCCUUCGGGGGGAUCAGCGGCGAACGGGUGAGUAACACGUGAGCAACCUGCCCCUGACUCUGGGAUAGCCUCGGGAAACCGGGAUUAAUACCGGAUAUGACACCUCCUCGCAUGGGGUGGUGUGGAAAGUUUUUCGGUCAGGGAUGGGCUCGCGGCCUAUCAGCUUGUUGGUGGGGUGAUGGCCUACCAAGGCGACGACGGGUAGCCGGCCUGAGAGGGUGACCGGCCACACUGGGACUGAGACACGGCCCAGACUCCUACGGGAGGCAGCAGUGGGGAAUAUUGCGCAAUGGGCGAAAGCCUGACGCAGCGACGCCGCGUGAGGGAUGAAGGCCUUCGGGUUGUAAACCUCUUUCAGCAGGGAAGAAGCGCAAGUGACGGUACCUGCAGAAGAAGCACCGGCUAACUACGUGCCAGCAGCCGCGGUAAUACGUAGGGUGCAAGCGUUGUCCGGAAUUAUUGGGCGUAAAGAGCUCGUAGGCGGUUUGUCGCGUCUGCUGUGAAAACGCGGGGCUCAACUCCGCGCCUGCAGUGGGUACGGGCAGACUAGAGUGCAGUAGGGGAGACUGGAAUUCCUGGUGUAGCGGUGGAAUGCGCAGAUAUCAGGAGGAACACCGGUGGCGAAGGCGGGUCUCUGGGCUGUAACUGACGCUGAGGAGCGAAAGCGUGGGUAGCGAACAGGAUUAGAUACCCUGGUAGUCCACGCCGUAAACGUUGGGCGCUAGGUGUGGGCCUCAUUCCACGAGGUCCGUGCCGCAGCUAACGCAUUAAGCGCCCCGCCUGGGGGAGUACGGCCGCAAGGCUAAAACUCAAAGGAAUUGACGGGGCCCCGCACAAGCGGCGGAGCAUGCGGAUUAAUUCGAUGCAACGCGAAGAACCUUACCAAGGCUUGACAUGCAGGGUAAUCCNGGCAGAGAUGUCGGGUCCGCAAGGGAUCCUGCACAGGUGGUGCAUGGUUGUCGUCAGCUCGUGUCGUGAGAUGUUGGGUUAAGUCCCGCAACGAGCGCAACCCUCGUCCUAUGUUGCCAGCACGUCAUGGUGGGGACUCAUAGGAGACUGCCGGGGUCAACUCGGAGGAAGGUGGGGAUGACGUCAAAUCAUCAUGCCCCUUAUGUCUUGGGCUUCACGCAUGCUACAAUGGCCAGUACAAAGGGCUGCGAGACCGUGAGGUGGAGCGAAUCCCAAAAAGCUGGUCUCAGUUCGGAUCGGGGUCUGCAACUCGACCCCGUGAAGUCGGAGUCGCUAGUAAUCGCAGAUCAGCAACGCUGCGGUGAAUACGUUCCCGGGGCUUGUACACACCGCCC